UCGAGGAUCUUCGGCAAUGGGCGCAAGCCUGACCGAGCGACGCCGCGUGGGCGAUGAAGGCCUUCGGGUUGUAAAGCCCUGUCGAGGGGGAGGAAGCCGCAAGGUUGACCGACCCCUGGAGGAAGCACGGGCUAAGUUCGUGCCAGCAGCCGCGGUAAGACGAACCGUGCGAACGUUGUUCGGAAUCACUGGGCUUAAAGGGCGCGUAGGCGGCGCGGCGAGUCCGGGGUGAAAGCCCCCCGCUCAACGGGGGAAGGGCCUCGGAGACUGCCGCGCUCGAGGGGGGUAGGGGUCGCGGGAACUUCGGGUGGAGCGGUGAAAUGCGUUGAUAUCCGAAGGAACGCCGGUGGCGAAAGCGCGCGACUGGACCCCAUCUGACGCUGAGGCGCGAAAGCCAGGGGAGCGAACGG
rnacentral:rRNA from 1 species